UAUUAUAGGACUAAGAACACAUAAAUGAUACUGAUCAAUGCAAAAGGUGAAGUCAUCACAGCGAGAUCAAAGGUUGAAACGCUUGUGGUAUAAUUGCUUAAGGAUUGGUAGCUGAUUCAGGUUUGGUGUCUUUGGAAGGGAAUGUGGACUUUGGUAACUCAGGCAAGUGGGGAAAAGUUGGCAGUUCAGGUUUUGGCAACUCAGGCAAGUGGGGAAAAGCUGGCAGUUCAGGCUUUGGAAACUCAGGCAAUUCAGGUUUUGGCAGCGUGGGAAUUUCAGGCUUCGACAACUCAGGCAAUUCAGGUAAUUUUGGCAGAGUGGGAAGUUCAGGUUUAGGAAAGGUUGGGACUUCAGGUAAUGGUGGAAGCUCAACCUUAGGAAGUAAUGGCAAGUCAGGCAAUUCAGGCUUAGGAAGCUCCGGGACCUCAGGUAAUGUUGUCUCUAGAAGCUGUCGUGCUUCUGCAGAGAUUGACAGAGCAACGAGUGAGAGCAGAACAAUGAGUGAAGGGGAGCGAAGAUUGGCCAUAACUAUGCAACAAGAUCAAUCAGCUGUAAAUACAAUUUAUCCUCACUUUUGUUUUGUGUGUGUUGAUGUUCACUUGUGUUGAGCUUUUAUAGAAGUGGGAAGUGAAGAAUGGGGAACUUCCAAAGGUGAUUUAGUGGGAAAAGUUGUGUUAGCUCAACUUCCCACCCAUAAGACUCCCACUGUUGGCAUGACCAACUAUAGACUUCCUUACAAGUGUAACCUUGCUAUCUUUCUAUAUGGAGUCCAGAGAUUGGUUAGAUUGAUAAUAAGCUAAAAUAUGGUUCUCACUUGUAAUCAUUCUCAGAAAUCAGAACACUUGUGAAGUUCAAGCUUUUUCACCUAUUUAAUAAUUCACUUCUUUCCUGUUCUACCUACAAAAGAUGAGAUUCUGAAGAAUGGUUCUUCUUUAGUUACUUUAAAAUAAUGUUCAACGAAGAUAGCCUCAUCUGCAAAGUUGGCCAACCUACACACUAAACUUUGACAUGUCUUUCUUUUUAUUGAAGCUCUGACUGAUCUUCACAUCACAUCCAAUUAUCCACAAGGUACUCUUCUAUUUGAAAUUAAGAAUUUUAUUAAAAAUUAAUUCAAUUGAUUUCUUUUAUAUCAAUCUCUUGGUUGGAAUGAGAUUCAAUUUUUUUGACUUAUAAAAUUUUCAUAUUAAAAAAAUUGAAACCAUGUGUAUUCUUGUAAGAAUUUAUUUAUAUUCUUUUUUUUUUCAAACUGAAUCAUUGCAAACAAAAGGACUAUAUAAGGUAGUAUAUAUGAUUCUCAGUUGUAAUUAUAACAGUUCAAAAUAUGUCUAAUCACAUUAGUUUCGGUAGAUCUUCAACAAACUGAAAAUUACUAAUGUUUACAACGGAAUCUGUCUCAGCAAUAUGUAAUCUCCAUAUGCUUUUUUAGUUUUCAGAAACCUUGUAAUUUUUACAGAAUAAAGGAAUUUUACCAUUACGGGUGUAACAUCUAGUUAAACUCCGAUGUCGGAAUCUCAACGUUCUGACGGAAUCUCCGUCGAGAUCCAGAAUCUCGAAGCUAAAAUUUUUAGAAGGAUAAAAUAGAGUUUUCAUAAAAUGAAUUAAAAAUUUUUCUUGGUGUGUUUUAAAAAAAAAUAAAAAAUUUAGAGGAGUUUUAAAGUUCGGCCGCCGAAGACGGCUCUUCCAGCCACUUAUAAAAGGCCUUCAACCCAAAAAUAUGAGAACUCUUUCUCUAUUUUCGAGCAGAGGUAAGUCCAUGCCCUUUUCCAGACAUUCUUGCUAAAAUUACUUCAAAUCUCUUGGAGAAUACAUGAGUUUUUACUUCAUUUUUUAAGAUUUGAGUUUGGAUUUCAAGCUUUAAACUUUGGAGACCUCCGAAAAUCGAUUUCCCAAUUCUCCAAAUCUUGGUUGUUGUGUUUUCUAUGUUUUUCAAGAGGUAAGUUCAAUCUUUGCUUUUCUUAUGCUUUUUGAAGGUUUUAAACCGAUAUUAUAAGUUGUUAGGACAUGCAUGAUUGAUUAUUCUAAAGUUUUAAAGUUUGAGUUAGUUUUGAUGAUGGAUGAUUUUCUCCUGGGAUUUUGUUGAUGCAUGUUGAGUUUAGAACAGUUUUUGAGGUCUCUUAUGCGUGUUAAGUGUGUAUGGUAGUCUUUAGCCUGUUGCAUGUAAGUUUGGGUUUGUUUAUUGGCUAUGAGCAUAGGGCAAAAUCAGGUUCUGCCUUACUGGAGAUCCUAGGUUCAGCCGCUGAAGCAAGGUUCGGCCACCAAAUCUGUCUGUAGAGGCAGCCAUUUGGCCACCUAACCUGCCGCUGAAAGUCCUCUGUUCAGCCUUUUUCAGCUUGUUUCCUACGUGUGUUCUUGUAUGUUCUUAGGGGUUUUCUUGAGGGUAGUUUAAGUAUUGUAAUAGUUAUGUUUGGUUCCUCAUUUAAAUCCAUCUAUGUAGGAUCGGACUUUGGAGACUGUAGAGGCUUGCAGUGAGAUAACUGCUUCAGUACUAGGCGUGCAUCAGUCAAAGGUGAGUAGAACUGAACUGAUAUAUUAUUUUAAAGAAAUCAAACUUUUUAAGCAUACUCAUACAUCACGAAUGUCAUGUAUAUACGAUUAGGUUGUUUUGCAUUAGAGUUCACGAAUAUAAUACAUUGCAUAAAUUAUUGUUGUUGUGGAUGGACGUUGGAUGACCCACUAGCCCUCGAGUAUGUUAUGAUAUGUUAUGAUGGAUAUGGAAAGACUAGGGUUGCCUAUUCUACGCCUCUGGCACUAUGUAAGGGAAAGACCAGGGCUGCCCAUUCUAUGCCCCUUGCACUAUGGAUAUGUUAUGUUAUAUUUAAGAGGAAAACCUGAGGAGCACUCGUCGUGGGCCGAGCACUAUUGAAAUCUGUAGAGGGUUACUGAUGACAAGUCCAUUUUGAUGUAAAUUGUUUGUGCUGUGAUGCAUUCAUACAAUCAUAUAUUUUAUUGAACUGUUUUUUUAUGUUCUGCUCACUAGACUCUUAUAGUUUAUCCCCUUUCCCCUAAUCCCAGGUUUGCAGGAUCAAAGUUAGCUCGGGAAGUCGGCUGAGUUGCUGGUAUAGCCUAUUGUAAUAGUAUAGCUAUGGAAAUAUAUUCAUUUGUGGAUUAGAAUUGUGCUUUGCCCGGGUUCUUCCUUGUAAUCCUUGUUUCAUGAUCAUUUUAUAUAAAAGUUUUUAAGUAUAAGUUUAUGUUUAAAUCGAGCUUGAGGCAUGUUAUGUCACACCCAUUCUCAAAACUGUGGAGAUGGAUAUGACCCGAAAAACUGACAGAACUUCCCCUGUUGUUAAUACAUAUAACUCAUAUGACCUGCUAUAAUUUCAAAAUAUAAAACAUAUAAGAGAUGAUUGAUAGCUAGACUGGUCAAUACAUAAUAUAUUUACAAUAAACAAAACACGUUCAUCAUUUGAAUUUACAAUCUAUACAUAAUCUGUCAAAAUUACAAAAAGAAAAGACAAGACCUAGGAUUGGUCCGACCUCCUCUAGACUCUGAGUGGACGAUGUGGAAGGAAUAACAAACUAGGAGAUGAGGACUGCUGAGCGGAUCACCAAAAAAAAACUGAAUAUUAAAAGAAAUAAGAGUGAGUACAACAUAUUCAGUGAGUGGAUAAAUAAAUAACAAAGGGGAAAAGAUAAGUUUAGGUAAUUAAUAGUACCAAAUAUUUAGCUAAAAUAAGUCAGCUGAAUAAAUACAAUUUAAUUCCUAGGCCUGGGCCUUAUAUGUUAUGUUGACCAUACCGAAGCAUUUGAUGAGGGCUCUAGUAUAGGUUUUAUGUUUUCAGUUACGAUGCAUGCACAAGUCGAGUCUUGGUUCAUGUAAUAAUUAUAUUUUUGUUGUUUGUAUGAUCAUGCAUGGAAUUAUAUCAUAUGUAAUAGGAUGUAUAGUAUGCUUGCUGUGGGCUCCAGUGACCUUAAGUCGAUUUGAACCCUAGCACCGGUAGUGGUCUGGUUCCCGGGUCGUUACAGAGUGGUAUCAAAGCCCUAGAUUCAUAUGACUGGGCCUAGAGUGUUGGGCUCAUAGAUGUUAUAGAGGGCAAAUACAAUUAGGAAAUAUUAUAUCCACUAGGAUAGAAUGUAGAGUCUUGUCAUGAUAUAUGUGAUAACCUCCAGAUCUUUCCUAGCCCAGGAAUAAGGUCGGGUCCAAAAGAAGGCACAGGUCCAAAGCCCAUCAGAUCAUACGCUCGAGAGGCGGCUCGACUUCACGAGCCUGGGCCGGCAACCCAGGAUGAUCCGGAUCAGAUAUGAGCACAAGCCCCAUAAGGGAGUAGGCCCAAUCACUCACCAGCUCUACCCGCAUGCUCUCUGGAGAGCAUUAAAUGGCCGUUACGCAUGGAGCAGGUGCCUGACACGCCCGUAUGUACGGGCCUGAGUGACAAGGACAGGAAGCACUAUAUAUCGGGGGGUCUCCUCUUGCAAGGGGGAUCUUCUUCUUUUUCUUCUCCUGCCUGGACUCCAUUUUUAUUUUCUCUGCAACUCUUGCCUAGAUAUACUACUCUUAUUCAUGAAACCUGACUUGAACGUCGGAGGGUCUCCGCUGGGGCAUCCCGGUGGACCCUUGACCAUUUUUCCUUAUUUUGCAGGUCCCUUUCUCAGAUAGAACAUGGAGAGACCCAUUUGACAGAUUCGUCUGGGAGCCCAAGAAGGAAUCAGAUCCACAUAAGAGGGGGCGAGGGAGGACCAGAUCUAACAAAUAUGGAGCCCAGGGAGAUUUAAAGUUAUCAAUAUGUAUAAUGAUGUAUAAUGUCAUGACUAUAUACAUGUGCAUUGAUGAUAUGAUAGGUAUGAUGUGGGUUCAUGUGUAUCCACAUGAACCAUAUGAUGCUAAUGCCUAUAUGUUUAAAUGAUUUUUCAGAAGACAGAAUGCAUGGCUUAUGUCGAUCUGUACGAUUGACUAGAGUCCCAUCCGAAAAAUGAGGGUAUAGACGCCCUUCCUCCUGCUGCUCCGUCAAGAGUGCGGUCAAGUAGAAAUAACAAGAAUGAAAAGUCAAGAGACCCUAUAAUGUCUUUUAAUAUAAACAAAAAGAGAACAGAUCCGAGUAGGAUGUUUGCAGAUGCCAGAAAAACAGUAGGAAAUGAUUAGAGGAGAGAUAGAAGUUUGGGUAUGAGUUUUGAAGUAGAGGGUGUGGGAGAGUCUGAAAGAGGAACAGAAGGCGUCAGACCAUAGGAUCCGCCUAUCCACCUCAGUACCAACCCUAUGCACAGGAACUCGGGUAUCCGAUGGAAAGUACAACAGAUUACUCUAGCUACCACCCAUACCCCUCAUUCAUACCCUAUCCUCCUUGCUAUUCAUUAUAUCCACCCUACCCUAUCUUAUGUUUUCGCCUCCUCCCCAUUACUAGAAUUUGGCAAACUCUAACUCAGGAAAUGUUGCACCACCUCCUCCUCCAGCAAAACCAGCUAGAAAAAAGUUUUUAUACCCAGAUAGAAAAAAGUUUUUUCUUCAAACUAUAUCAUUCAUUUUAUUUUAUUUACAAUUUUAAUUAAAUCAGUUUUUGAUAAUUUUUCAAAAAAUUAAAUUUGAAAUAAAACAGAUAUUUUUUUUAAAAAUUUUAGGACAUUAAUAAUUUUUAACUUUGAUUAGCAAUUUAUAAUAUUAAACAUUAUACUUUUUAAUUAACAACAAUUCCAUUUAAUUUUCUAAGUUCAGUAAUUCUCUUUAUGGCCCUGAACUAUUUAAUAAGAUUGAUGAGGGUCAUAGCAAAAACCAAAUAAAUAAACUGGAUCAAUUUUGUAUAUAGAAUAUAAACAUACAACGUACAUCAUACAAAAGCUGAAACAAAAAUAUUAUAGGACUAAAACUCACUUCAAAUUUAAGCAUGCAUAUAUAUAACAUAUGAAUCAGACACUUAAGAACACAUAAAUGAUACUGAUCAAUGCAAAAGCUGAAGUCAUCACAGCGAGAUCAAACGUUGAAACCCUUGUGGUAUAAUUGCUUAAGGAUUGGUAGCUGAUUCAGGUUUGGUGUCUUUGGAAGGGAAUGUGGACUUUGGUAACUCAGGCAAGUGGGGAAAAGUUGGCAGUUCAGGUUUUGGCAACUCAGGCAAGUGGGGAAAAGCUGGCAGUUCAGGCUUUGGAAACUCAGGCAAUUCAGGUUUUGGCAGCGUGGGAAUUUCAGGCUUCGACAACUCAGGCAAUUCAGGUAAUUUUGGCAGAGUGGGAAGUUCAGGUUUAGGAAAGGUUGGGACUUCAGGUAAUGGUGGAAGCUCAACCUUAGGAAGUAAUGGCAAGUCAGGUAAUUCAGGCUUGGGAAGCUCCGGGACCUCAGGUAAUGUUGUCUCUAGAAGCUGCCGUGCUUCUGCAGAGAUUGACAGAGCAACGAGUGAGAGCAGAACAAUGAGUGAAGGGGAGCGAAGAUUGGCCAUAAUUAUGCAACAAGAUCAAUCAGCUGUAAAUAAAAUUUAUCCUCACUUUGUUUUGUGUGUGUUGAUGUUCACUUGUGUUGAGCUUUUAUAGAAGUGGGAAGUGAAGAAUGGGGAACUUACAAAGGUGAUUUAGUGGGAAAAGUUGUGUUAGCUCAACUUCCCACCCAUAAGACUCCCACUGUUGGCAUGACCAACUAUAGACUUCCUUACAAAUGUAACCUUGCUAUCUUUCUAUAUGGAGUCCAGAGAUUGGUUAGAUUGAUAAUAAGCUAAGAUAUGGUUCUCACUUGUAAUCAUUCUCAGAAAUCAGAACACUUGUGAAGUUCAAGAUUUUUCACCUAUUUAAUAAUUCACCUCUUUCUUGUUCUACCUACAAAAGAUGAGAAUCUGAAGAAUGGUUCUUCUUUAGUUACUUUAAAAUAAUGUUCAAUGAAGAUAGCCUCAUCUUCAAAGUUGGCCAACCUACACACUAAACUUUGACAUGUCUUUCUUUUCGUUGAAGCUCUGACUGAUCUUCACAUCCAAUUAUUCAAGUUAAUCUUCUAUUUGAAAUUAAGAAUUUUACUAAAAAUUAAUCCAAUUGAUUUCUUUUAUAUAGAUCUCUUGGUUGGAAUGAUAUUCAAUUUUUUUUUAACUUAUAAAAUUUUUAUAUUAAAAAAAUUAAAACUAUGUGUAAUCUUGUUAGAAUUUAUUUGUAUUAUUUUCUUUCAAACUGAAUCAUUGCAAACACAAGGACUAUAUGAGAGAGUAUAUAUAAAUCUCAGUUGUAAUUAUAACAGUUUAGAAUAUGUCUAAUCACAUUAGUUUUGGUAUAUCUUGAACAAACCGAAAAUUACUAAUGUUUAUAACGGAAUCUGUCUCAACAACAUCUAAUCUCGAUAUGCUUUUCCAAUUAAUCUCGAUAUGCUUUUCCAAUUUUCAGAAGCCUUAUAACUUUUACAGAAUAAAAGAAUUUUACCACGGAGAGUUCAUUUAAUCUUUGAUUUGAUUUGAGUAAAAAUAAAUAAAUUGAAUUAAAUCAAACCAAAUUUUGAAGAGUUCAAACUUAUUUUUUAAAUUUUUUUUAAGUUUGAGUUUCAUUUUGAACUUGAGCCAAGUAUUAAUAAGCUUAAAUUUGGCUCAUUUAGCAAACGAAUUUAGAUAAAUCGAAUUUUUAUCGAGUUUAGUUUUGAAUAAUUUACGAAAAGUUCAAUUUAUUUACAUAUAUAUAUAUAAUAAGAUUUAGUUGAAAACUAAUACGUUUAAAACUAAAUAAUUUUAGUUAAAUAAGUAUAUAUAUAAAUUAGCUUUUAAAAUUAUAAAGGAUGAGUUUUUAAAUUUUAAUGAUUCAAAUAUCUAUAAAUUUUAAAAGUAUAAUUAAACUAUGCAAGUUGAACUUUAAAAAACUUAGAUCUGAUUCAUGAAAAUAUAUACAAAGUAUAAUUUAGUUCUCUUAUAAUAUUACUUUCCGUAUGCUUAUUUGAGACCGUUUAUAAGUUUGUUCGCGAGCUUGCUCAUAAAUUCGAAAAUGAGCUGAAUUCGUGAGUCUUAAAGAGUCUAAUACAAAUGAAUCUGAAAAUUAAGUUCAAUCUUGAUUCAUUUAGAAAUCAAGUUGAGUUUGAUUGAACUUUUUAUCGAAUUGAACUUUCAAUAAUUCACGGACAAUUUAAUCCAUUUACACCACUAAUAGUUAUUUAGGGUCAGAUAUAAUUGCGCUCUAUAAUAGUAGAACUAAAGAGUUGGUUCUAUUAAUUACCACAGAGCCAAUCUAUUAUUGGUCGUUGAUAGAUGCGCAUUGUGGGAGUAACCCUAAUGGAAAAAUUAAUUGAUUGAAAGCUUACUUUGUAGUCAAUAAAUUACCACUAAAAUAUGAGCUUGAUUACAAUAAUAUUUUGACUCAAAUGGCUAAAAUUUUAUCAAUUCGUCUUCUUGUCUCCUUAACAACAUCCACAUCAUUGGCCUCUUUAUUGAAUAGAUAAAAAAAAUUACUUUUUAUACGAAGAACUUAUAAAGAAAGUUCUUAUAAAGCAAUCAUCAGACCAUCAGAGUUUGUUGCUGAGAGGAUCAGGCAUGGUAUGCCAUUUAUGACAAAUACCACACGGGUUAAAAGUAGCCUGUAAGGAUGUUGUUUGGAUAGUUUAGUAAUGGGAUCCAACAGAUUAGGAUGUGUAGGAGUGAAGCCUAAUGUGCCCCUUAUAUGGGUCAUAGGCAAUCCUCCCCCUUGAGCUAGCUUUUGGGGUGAGUUAGGCCUGGCCCAAAUUUAACUUGGUAUCAAAGCCUCCCCAUCCGAUGUUGGGCCUCCCAUAAAUGUGUCACGCACCAGUAAAAUUCUGGGCGUGAGGGGGGUAUGUUGAAUCCCACAUCGGUUGUGGAAAGGGGUAAUGUGCCCCUUAUAUGGGUCAUAUAUAUAUAUAUCAUUAAAUAAAGCAUAAUUCUUGUAUAGAUUGAGUCUAUACGGACAUGUAGUAUAAAUUAUAUGUGAUUUGUUAUAGCUGUCACUACUAUUUUAUAUUACAGUCUGAUGACUGCUGGAUUUCUUCACCCCGACCUAAAGGCCAGGCCCCUGAAAACAGUCCAUAAUCCGAAGGCUUCAAUAUUCCCCUCGAGAGCCAGGUCUAGCCCGCUCAGUCACAGGGCCGGACUCUGCCUAGACUCCUCAAUCAAGCCGGCCCAAACCUCUCGGCCCAAUAAUCAGGCCCUCACCAGGCUCAACUUCAGCCCUACCAUUCAACCCAGCCCAGAAAGAGGAAAAUGACUAACCUGCCCCGCUGAUGGGUCCUUCCGCAUGCGUAUCAGAGGAGAAUUAAUGGUCGUUACGCAUGGAGCAGGCGCCUGACACAUCCGUACAUACAGAGCUGGGCGGCAGAAGACAGCUAGCAUUGUGGCAGAGAGACAGAUAUAUAUAUUACAGUAGAGGCCACGCAAAAGAGGGGGCUCUCUCUUCUUCUUCCUUCUCCUUCCUGGACACCAUUUUUAUUCUUUCUGCAACCCUUGCCUAAAUAUACUACUCUGAGCCAUAAAAUCUGACUUGAGCGUCGGAGGGCCUCCACCGGGGCACCCCCGGUAGGCCCCUGACCAUUCUUUCUUAUUUUACAGGUCCUUUCACCAGGUAAAACAUGGAGAGAUCCAUCAGGGAGCCCAGCAAGAAGGGACCCAGAAGAAAACCAGAUCUAUCAUGGACCAGGAAGAGGAAAAAAUUUAUCACAGUCCAUAUAAAACCGGUGUAGAUAAGUUUUUGCCCUUCAAGGAAAAUUGGUAAAAGAAUAUAAUUAGUAAAUUCUUUCAAUUUUUAGUAUAUGGAAAAUAAUUAUCACCCAUGAUUGAAUUAUUGGACAACAUCAUCAAAGAGAACUCUAGCAAAGUCCUUUCGUAUUUUCAUAUUUUCACUCUGUACCGAAUAAUUUUUGUUUUUUUUUUUUAAAUGAGAAUUGGAGAUUAGGAGAGUAGAACCUAAGCUUGUAAAUGCAGAUUGAAUAGUCUUAUAAUUGAAAUAUCUAAAUAAAAUCAUAAACAAAAUGAAUUUUAACUCAGAUCUUAACAAAUUAAUAUAAUAAUCUCAAUUUGAUCUAGUGUAUCUUUUGAUUUACAGUUUUUUAAGUCAAAUGUCAAUGAUAAAUUUAAAAUUUUAGUAGUUUUUUUCUCGUAACUCUAUUCCUAUUAUUAGAAUCUCUCUUUUACCGAAAAAUUCUUCAUAGUUAUGGAGGAAAAAUUUUUCUUUUUCUUGAAAAACUUAUCAUUUAUUUUAUUUUAUUUAUAAUUUUAAUUAAAUCGGUUGUUCAUAAUUUUUCAAAAAUUUAGAUUUGAAAUAAAAUAUAUUUUUUUUAAUUUUAGGCCAUCAGUAAUUUUUAAGUUCAGUGACUCAUAAUAUUAAAUUUAUAUUUUUUUAAUUCACAACAAUAUUUUAAUUUUUAAGUUCUGUAAAUUCUUGUGGCUCUGUGUGAAUGUGCUUGGAUCAUGAACUAUCAAUAAGAUUCAUCACAAUCAUACCCAAGAUCAAGAUCAAAUAAAUAAGCUGAUCAACUCUGCAAAUAGAAUAUAAACUGUACAUCAUACAAAUAUUUGAAAUAUAAAGAUUACAGGACUAACAUCCACUCCAAAUUUAAUCAUAUAUAUAUGUAAUCAAUGAUACUGAUCAAUGCGAAAGAUGAAGUCAUCACUGUGAGAUCAAACAUCGAAACAUUUAUGGUAUAGUUGUUUAAGGACUGGGAGUUGAUUGAGGAGGUUUUGUGUCCUUGGCAAGGAAUGUGGGCUUUGGUAACUCUGGCAAGUGGGGAAAAGUUGGCAGUUCAGGUUUUGGUAACUCAGGCAAUUCAAGUUUUGGCAAAGUGGGAAUUUCAGGCUUUGGCAACUCAGGCAAUUCAGGUUUUGGCAGUGUGGGAAGUUCAGGCUUAGGGAAGGCUGGGACUUCUGGUAAUGGUGGAAGCUCAACCUUAGGCAGUGAAGGCAAUUCAGGCUUGGGAAGCUCAGAUACCUCAGGCAAUGCUGUUUUUAGAAGGUGUCGUGCAUCUACGGAUUGACAGAGUGAUAAGUGAGAGCAUAAUGAUGAGGGAAGGGGAGCGAUGAUCGGCCAAAAUGCGACAAGAUCAACCACCUGCAAAGUGAAUAGUAAUUAAAAUUUCUGGACAAUUUUG
rnacentral:lncRNA from 1 species